AAGAUGAAUGGAGGCCUUUUGGUGUUUGUUCUCCGAAAGGCGGGAAAGGCGAACUACACCUCCCGACUGGCCGCGCGCGGCUGCGCCUGCGCCCUGUUACCUGUCGCCAUCUUGCCCCUUCAGAGGCACCGCAAACAAACCCAAUUCCUGGUGUCCCCUAGUCUUGGCGGAGGAGCCUUUUAGAUGAGCCCCGAAAGGCCGGGCAGGGAGGACAAGCUCUUUGGGGCUACCAAACAGAAGCAGCAAUGCCUGUUGUGUGGCCAACCCUUUUGGAUCUCAGCAGGGAUGAAUGCAAAAGGAUUCUUCGAAAAUUGGAAUUGGAGGCAUAUGCUGGAGUUAUCAGUGCACUUCGGGCACAGGGGGAUCUCACCAAGGAAAAGAAAGAUCUUCUUGGAGAACUAUCAAAAGUUCUUAGCAUCUCAACAGAACGCCACCGUGCUGAAGUUCGGAGAGCAGUAAACGAUGAACGGUUAACAACAAUUGCACAUAAAAUGAAUUUAUCCUUAUAUUUGGGUGAAAGACCAAGUUACAGUAUGUCUGGACCUAAUAGCUCUUCAGAAUGGUCCAUUGAAGGUCGUCGAUUGGUACCACUGAUGCCCCGGCUCGUUCCCCAAACCGCCUUUACUGUAACAGCUAAUGCUGUUGCUAAUGCAGCUAUCCAGCAUAAUGCAUCUCUUCCAGUGCCUGCAGAAACAGGAAGCAAGGAAGUAGUGGUUUGCUAUUCCUACACAAGUACCACGUCAACCCCAACCUCUACCCCUGUUCCAAGUGGCAGCAUAGCAACGGUUAAGUCUCCAAGACCUGCCAGUCCUGCCUCCAAUGUAGUUGUCUUGCCAAGUGGAAGUACUGUUUAUGUCAAAAGUGUAAGCUGUUCAGAUGAAGAUGAAAAACCCAGAAAACGAAGGCGAACAAACUCUUCCAGCUCCUCUCCUGUUGUUCUAAAGGAAGUUCCAAAGGCCGUUGUUCCAGUCUCAAAGACGAUCACUGUGCCUGUGAGUGGUAGUCCCAAGAUGAGCAACAUCAUGCAGAGCAUUGCCAACUCCUUACCACCCCACAUGUCUCCUGUGAAAAUAACCUUCACUAAACCGUCAACACAGACAACAAACACAACAACACAGAAGGUUAUUAUAGUCACCACAUCACCAAGCUCAACCUUCGUGCCCAACAUUCUCUCCAAAUCCCAUAACUAUGCAGCAGUCACUAAGCUUGUACCAACAUCAGUCAUUGCUUCUACAACCCAGAAGCCGCCAGUUGUUAUAACUGCUUCACAGUCCUCUCUGGUCAGUAAUAGCAGCAGUGGCAGCAGCAGUUCUACACCAUCACCUAUUCCUAAUACAGUUGCAGUAACAGCUGUGGUGUCCUCUACACCAUCUGUGGUCAUGUCAACAGUAGCACAAGGUGUAUCUACAUCAGCAAUCAAAAUGGCAUCAACCAGACUUCCUUCCCCCAAAAGCUUAGUGAGUGCCCCAACUCAGAUUCUUGCACAGUUCCCUAAACAACAUCAACAGUCUCCUAAGCAGCAGUUAUAUCAAGUGCAACAGCAGACACAGCAACAAGUGGCCCAGCCUUCUCCAGUAUCUCAUCAGCAACAGCCUCAGCAGUCUCCUUUGCCACCUGGUAUUAAACCUACCAUCCAAAUCAAACAGGAGUCAGGUAACUGGAAAAUGUUUAUAGAUAUGGUAAUUCUUUAUUCACCAGUUUUUUUAGUCUUCCAGUCCAUGAACACGGUAUGUCUCUUCAUUUAUUUAGGUCUUUGACUUUUUCAUCAAUGUUUUACUGCUUUCAGCAUAUAGAUUCUGUAUAUGUUUUGUUAGAUUUGUACCUAAGCAUUUCAUUUUCUUGUCGUGAUUAUAAUUGGUAUUAUGAUUUUAAUUUCAAUGUCUACAUGUUUUUUGUUAGUAUAUAAAAAUAGUGUUGAUCUUGUAUCCUUUGACCUUGCUGAACUCACUUGUUCUCAGAGUAUUUACAUAGAUUCCUUGGGGUUUUCUGUGUAUGCAACUAUGUUAUCUAUAAAUAGGGACAGUUUUGUUUCUUCCUUUCCAAUCAAUUGCUGUUUAUUUCUUUUUCUUGUUUUAUUUUAUUGUCAAGAACUUCCAGUACUAUGCUGAAUGAAUAAGAGUGAGGAAAGUGGACAUCCUUGCUUUGUUCCUAAUCUUAAGGAGAAAACAUUCAGUUUUUCACCAUUAAGUACGAUACCAGCUGUAGGCUUUUUAUAGAUGCUCUUUAUCAGGUUGACGGAGUGCACUUCUGCUACUAGUUUUUGGGGAGUUUUUAUCAUGAAUGAGUGUUGGAUUUUGUCAAGUGCUUUUUCUGUUCAAUUAAGUUUUUUGUUGUUUAGUUUAUUGAUAUGCCGGAUUAUACUGAUUGAUUUUCUGUUAAACCAGCCUUGCAUAUUGGAAAUAAAUCCCACU
rnacentral:sRNA from 1 species